rnacentral:rRNA from 1 species
GAUGAACGCUGGCGGCGUGCCUAAUACAUGCAAGUCGAGCGAACGGACGAGAAGCUUGCUUCUCUGAUGUUAGCGGCGGACGGGUGAGUAACACGUGGAUAACCUACCUAUAAGACUGGGAUAACUUCGGGAAACCGGAGCUAAUACCGGAUAAUAUUUUGAACCGCAUGGUUCAAAAGUGAAAGACGGUCUUGCUGUCACUUAUAGAUGGAUCCGCGCUGCAUUAGCUAGUUGGUAAGGUAACGGCUUACCAAGGCAACGAUGCAUAGCCGACCUGAGAGGGUGAUCGGCCACACUGGAACGGAGACACGGUCCAGACUCCUACGGGAGGCAGCAGUAGGGAAUCUUCCGCAAUGGGCGAAAGCCUGACGGAGCAACGCCGCGUGAGUGAUGAAGGUCUUCGGGUCGUAAAACUCUGUUAUUAGGGAAGAACAUAUGUGUAAGUAACUGUGCACAUCUUGACGGUACCUAAUCAGAAAGCCACGGCUAACUACGUG